rnacentral:tRNA from 1 species
GGGGAUGUAGCUCAGUGGUAGAGUGUUUGCUCAUCAAGUGUGAGGCCCUGGGUUUGAUCCCCAGCACUGCUA